rnacentral:rRNA from 1 species
UUUUACAAUGUAGAGUUUGAUCCUGGCUCAGGAUGAACGCUAGCUACAGGCUUAACACAUGCAAGUCGCAGGGUAACGUGAGNGAAGCUUGCUUCCCUUGACGACGACUGGCGCACGGGUGAGUAACGCGUAUCCAACCUUCCCAUGACCACGGGAUAACCCGUUGAAAGACGGACUAAUACCGUAUGACGUCGUUUGCUGACAUCAAAUAACGAUUAAAGGUUUNGCGGUGAUGGAUGGGGAUGCGUCUGAUUAGCUUGUUGGCGGGGUAACGGCCCACCAAGGCUACGAUCAGUAGGGGUUCUGAGAGGAAGGUCCCCCACAUUGGAACUGAGACACGGUCCAAACUCCUACGGGAGGCAGCAGUGAGGAAUAUUGGUCAAUGGGCGAGAGCCUGAACCAGCCAAGUAGCGUGCAGGAUGACGGCCCUAUGGGUUGUAAACUGCUUUUAUGCGGGGAUAAAGUGNGNGACGUGUCNUGCAUUGCAGGUACCGCAUGAAUAAGGACCGGCUAAUUCCGUGCCAGCAGCCGCGGUAAUACGGAAGGUCCGGGCGUUAUCCGGAUUUAUUGGGUUUAAAGGGAGCGUAGGCCGCCAGAUAAGCGUGUUGUGAAAUGUACCGGCUCAACCGGUGAAUUGCAGCGCGAACUGUUUGGCUUGAGUGCACGGUAAGCAGGCGGAAUUCAUGGUGUAGCGGUGAAAUGCUUAGAUAUCAUGAAGAACUCCGAUUGCGAAGGCAGCUUGCUGCAGUGCGACUGACGCUGAUGCUCGAAGGUGCGGGUAUCAAACAGGAUUAGAUACCCUGGUAGUCCGCACGGUAAACGAUGGAUGCCCGCUGUCCGCCUAUUGUGGCGGGUGGCCAAGCGAAAGCGUUAAGCAUCCCACCUGGGGAGUACGCCGGCAACGGUGAAACUCAAAGGAAUUGACGGGGGCCCGCACAAGCGGAGGAACAUGUGGUUUAAUUCGAUGAUACGCGAGGAACCUUACCCGGGCUUGAACUGCCNGUGAACGAUACAGAGAUGUUGAGGCCCUUCGGGGCGCNGGUGGAGGUGCUGCAUGGUUGUCGUCAGCUCGUGCCGUGAGGUGUCGGCUUAAGUGCCAUAACGAGCGCAACCCCUUUUUUCAGUUGCCAUCAGGUAAUGCUGGGCACUCUGGAGAUACUGCCACCGCAAGGUGUGAGGAAGGUGGGGAUGACGUCAAAUCAGCACGGCCCUUACGUCCGGGGCUACACACGUGUUACAAUGGGGCAUACAGAGUGUUGGCUUAACGCAAGUUUGGUCUAAUCUUCAAAGUGUCUCCCAGUUCGGACUGGGGUCUGCAACCCGACCCCACGAAGCUGGAUUCGCUAGUAAUCGCGCAUCAGCCAUGGCGCGGUGAAUACGUUCCCGGGCCUUGUACACACCGCCCGUCAAGCCAUGAAAGCCGGGGGUGCCUGAAGUCCGUAACCGUCNAGGAGCGGCCUAGGGCAAAACUGGUGAUUGGGGCUAAGUCGUAACAAGGUAGCCGUACCGGAAGGUGCGGCUGGAACACCUCCUUUCUGGA